rnacentral:rRNA from 1 species
UACAGAGGGUGCGAGCGUUAAUCGGAAUUACUGGGCGUAAAGCGCGCGUAGGCGGCUUUGCAAGUCGGGUGUGAAAUCCCCAGGCUUAACCUGGGAACUGCAUUCGAGACUGCAUUGCUAGAGUAUGGGAGAGGGAAGCGGAAUUCCUGGUGUAGCGGUGAAAUGCGUAGAUAUCAGGAGGAACACCUGUGGUGUAGACAGCUUACUGGACCACUUCUGACGCUGAGACACGAAAGCGUGGGUAGCAAACAGG